CAUGUGGCCAUAUAUUUAGAGUCCUGGAUAGCAGUGCAGUGUUCCUGGGCUAUUGUGACUCCAUUUGGAUCUUGAUGCCUCCUGUUCCUGGGUCUGCUUCCUAGCACUGUCUCAAAGGUUGUUCUUUGGGCUCAGCAUCAACUGUGUAAGUGCUGUUAAAAAAGUGAUUCACUUUUAACACCUUAAAAUUAAACUUGAAUUAAACUUAAUUCACACCAUCCUUAUGAGGAAGUAUCUUAUGUGAUUUUUCAGAUGAGUAAAAUAGCUAAGUAUAUAACCUGCUAUGGGUGCCAUAGCUAUUAAGUAUUCAAAUUUAGGCACAUAAUCUCCAGAAUCCCGCUUUUAAUCCUUGAACCACCAUACUGAUUGUAUAUUAUUCUACAUUUGUUAGUGCCAGGCAUGUUGGUGUGCCUAUAAUUCCAAUGACUAGAGAGGCUGAGGAAGGAGGAUUGAGUUUGACAUUAGCCUUGGCAACUCUGUGAAACUCUAUUUCAAAAUAAAAACUAAAAACUGCUAAUCAGCUCCCCCUGGAUUCAGUCUCCAGGACAAUAAAACCCCCCAUGCCACAAUUGUUUAUUAAUUGAUCUAUUUAGUUCUGGGUUGGAUAUUGGAUGUUUCCUCAGGGAAAAAAGUUAAAAGAUGAUUUUCCUUCUUAUAAUAAGAGUAAUUUGAGAUCAGAAAACAGAACAACAAAAAUCAUACAUAAACACAACAAAAGGUUGCAUGUUUUCUUCUUGGAAGUAGUUGUUUCCUUUCUUAAAAAAAUGAGUAUAUCCAAUACUUCUCCAUAUCAUUAAUUUUCCAGAUAGACUUCAUGUUUUUUCUGGUGUUGGGGAUCAAAUUUUUUAAUAGCUGUAUAAUAUUUAGUUUCAUCAGUUGUUAUUUAAUCUAUAAAUGUUGGGCAGGCAUUUAAGGUUUUUCUAUUGAAUUGCUUUUAUAAAUCCAUUCAAUAAACAUUCACUGAGCAAUUACUA
rnacentral:lncRNA from 1 species